rnacentral:rRNA from 1 species
GACGUAGGAGGCGAGCGUUGUCCGGAUUCAUUGGGCGUAAAGAGCACGCAGGCGGUUUGGCAAGUCGGAUGUGAAAACCCGGAGCUCAACUCCGGACCUGCAUCCGAAACUGCCCGACUAGAGGUAGGUAGGGGAGAUCGGAAUUCCUGGUGUAGCGGUGAAAUGCGCAGAUAUCAGGAGGAACACCGGUGGCGAAGGCGGAUCUCUGGGCCUUACCUGACGCUGAGGAGCGAAAGUGUGGGGAGCGAACAGG